rnacentral:rRNA from 1 species
AACCUGCGGAAUGAUCAUUG